AGCGCCAGGGUAUUACGAGCGCAAGCUUAAAAUCCAAAGGAUUUGACGGUGUCCCACCCACCUAGAGGAGCCUGUUCUAUAAUCGAUGAUCCUCGAUUUACCCCACCAUUUCUUGCUCAGCCUGUAUACCUCCGUCGCAAGCUUACCAUCUGAAUGAAGUAAGUCUAAAGCACCAAUACGUCAGGUCAAGGUGCAGCUAAUGAAAUGGAAAGCAAUGGGCUACAAUUUCUAUAAUAGAACAAACGAAAUACUACAUGAAAAAUAGUCAUGAAGGCGGAUUUAGUAGUAAAGAGGAAGUAGUGCGUCCUCUUAACAAGGCUCUGGGACGUGUACAAACCGCCCGUCACCCUCUUCAAUUUAAUAUUUUAGAAGAGGCAAGUCGUAACAUGGUAAGUGUACUGGAAAGUGCACUUGGUAUCAAAAUGUAGCUUAAAAAGCCUCUCGCUUACACCGAAAAAAUAUCUGUUUAACCCAGAUCAUUUUGAGCCCAUAAUCUAGCCCUAAAACAUUUUAACUUUUUAGUAGAGGUGAUCAAAA
rnacentral:rRNA from 1 species